rnacentral:tRNA from 1 species
CGCGCCGUAGCUCAACCGGAUAGAGCCCUGCCGUUCUUUGAAAUCCUAGCUGACACUUGGAGAGUAGGGGCAGGAGGUUGCAGGUUCAAGCCCUGCCGGCGCGU